rnacentral:rRNA from 1 species
GAUGAACGCUAGCGGCAGGCUUAAUACAUGCAAGUUGAGGGGCAGCAUGAUAUACGCGAGUAUAUUGAUGGCGACCGGCGGACGGGUGAGUAAUAGGUAGGAGACCUACCUCAUACAGGGGGAUAGCAUAGAGAAAUCUGUGGUAAUACCCCAUGAGGUUAUAUGAAUAGAGGCAUAUAAUCAAAGCAUAAGCGAUUAUGCGGUAUGAGAGGGGCCUACUGACCAUUAGCUAGUUGGUGAGGUAAGGGCUCACCAAGGCGAAGAUGGUUAGGGGUUUUGAGAGAGAGACCCCCCACAUUGGAACUGAGAGACGGUCCAGACUCCUACGGGAGGCAGCAGUAGGGAAUAUUGGGCAAUGGGCGAAAGCCUGACCCAGCCAUGCCGCGUGAAGGAAGACGGCCUUAUGGGUUGUAAACUUCUUUACUACGCGAAUAGAGGUUAGUACGAGAUACUAAUAGGAAGGUAGUGUAGUAAAAAAGCAACCGGCUAAACUCCGUGACCC